rnacentral:rRNA from 1 species
AAUGAACGCUGGCGGUAGGCCUAACACAUGCAAGUCGAACGUGUGGCGGACGGGUGAGGAAUUCAUCGGCCUCUACUCUGUCGUGGGGGCUAACGUUGGGAAACUUACGCUAAUUCAGCAUACUGUUGACUGAGCCGAUGGCGGCUUGGCUGGUUGGCGGGGUAAAGGCCAACGACGGCGACGGUCCGCAGCUGGUCGGAGGGGAUGGUAAGGCAAACUGGAACUGAGAAACGGUCCAGACUCCUACGGGAGGCAGAGGUGGGGAAUAUUGGGCAAUGGGACAAAGCCGGAUACAGCGAUACCGCGUGGGUGAAGAAGGGCUGAGGGUUGUAAAGCCCUUUUGUUGGGAAAGCGGUAACCAAAGAAGAAGCACCGGCUAACUUCGUGCCAGCCGCCGCGGUAAUUC